rnacentral:rRNA from 1 species
UACGUAGGGGGCUAGCGUUGUCCGGAAUCAUUGGGCGUAAAGAGCGUGUAGGCGGUCCGGUAAGUCCGCUGUGAAAGUCGGGGGCUCAACCCUCGAAUGCCGGUGGAUACUGUCGGGCUAGAGUGCGGGAGAGGCUCGUGGAAUUGCAGGUGUAGCGGUGAAAUGCGUAGAUAUCUGCAGGAACACCCGUGGCGAAAGCGGCGAGCUGGACCACUACUGACGCUGAAGAACGAAAGCUAGGGGAGCAAACAGG